rnacentral:hammerhead_ribozyme from 1 species
GUGCUGAUGAAGAGUCCCAAACUAGGACGAAACAGCUGUCCAGUGC